AGAACGAACGCUGGCGGCAUGCCUAAUACAUGCAAGUCGAACGAACUCUUCGGAGUUAGUGGCGCACGGGUGCGUAACGCGUGGGAAUCUGCCCCUUGGUUCGGAAUAACAGUUGGAAACGAUUGCUAAUACCGGAUGAUGACGAAAGUCCAAAGAUUUAUCGCCAAGGGAUGAGCCCGCGUAGGAUUAGCUAGUUGGUGAGGUAAAGGCUCACCAAGGCAACGAUCCUUAGCUGGUCUGAGAGGA
rnacentral:rRNA from 1 species